rnacentral:rRNA from 1 species
GAUGAACGCUGGCGGCGUGCCUAAUACAUGAAAGUCGAGCGAACGGACGAGAAGCUUGCUUCUCUGAUGUUAGCGGCGGACGGGUGAGUAACACGUGGAUAACCUACCUAUAAGACUGGGAUAACUUCGGGAAACCGUAGCUAAUACCGGAUAAUAUUUUGAACCGCAUGGUUCAAAAGUGAAAGACGGUCUUGCUGUCACUUAUAGAUGGAUCCGCGCUGCAUUAGCUAGUUGGUAAGGUAACGGCUUACCAAGGCAACGAUGCAUAGCCGACCUGAGAGGGUGAUCGGCCACACUGGAACUGAGACACGGUCCAGACUCCUACGGGAGGCAGCAGUAGGGAAUCUUCCGCAAUGGGCGAAAGCCUGACGGAGCAACGCCGCGUGAGUGAUGAAGGUCUUCGGAUCGUAAAACUCUGUUAUUAGGGAAGAACAUAUGUGUAAGUAACUGUGCACAUCUUGACGGUACCUAAUCAGAAAGCCACGGCUAACUACGUG